UACGGAGGGGGCGAGCGUUAUUCGGAAUUACUGGGCGUAAAGGGCUCGUAGGUGGCCAACUAAGUCAGACGUGAAAUCCCUCAGCUUAACUGGGGAACUGCGUCUGAUACUGGAUGGCUUGAGUUUGGGAGAGGGAUGCGGAAUUCCAGGUGUAGCGGUGAAAUGCGUAGAUAUCUGGAGGAACACCGGUGGCGAAGGCGGCAUCCUGGACCAACACUGACACUGAUGAGCGAAAGCCAGGGGAGCAAACGGG
rnacentral:rRNA from 1 species